UACGUAGGGUGCGAGCGUUAAUCGGAAUUACUGGGCGUAAAGCGUGCGCAGGCGGUUCGUUGUGUCGGCGGUGAAAGCCCCGGGCUCAACCUGGGAAUGGCCCGUUGAAACUGGCGAACUGGAGUGUGGCAGAGGGGGUGGAAUUCCGCGUGUAGCAGUGAAAUGCGUAGAGAUCGCGGAGGAACACCGAUGGCGAAGGCAGCCCC
rnacentral:rRNA from 1 species